AGGAUGUAUAGCAAUAGCUAAUUGCACCAGAUAAUAACUGAUGCAAUAUCGACUCUGUCGAAUAAAAUUCUAGGUAGAAUUAUGAUAAUGACAUUAUCUGCCUACAUGUCUUGACCAAAUUACGUGCCAGCAGUCGCGGUAAUACGUAGAAGACUAGUGUUAUUCAUCUUUAAUAGGUUUAAAGGGUACCUAGACGGUAAAUCAAGCCUGCGAGGGGACUAGUUUACUAGAGUUACUUGUGAGGGGGUAUUAAAGUACUAAUGGUGUAGAGAUGAAAUUCUGUCAUACCUUUUUUCGUAAGAAAAAUCAUGGCACAGGUAUAGGCGAAAGCAUCCCCUUAUGUGAUAACUGACGUUGAAGGACGAAGGCUUUGUGUCGCGAACAGGAUUAGAUACCCCAGUAGUCAAAGCAGAAAAUGAUGAAUGUCAUAGAUUAGGCAUAUAAUAGUUUAUUCUAUAAAUGAAAGUGUAAGCAUUCCACCUCAAGAGUAAUUUGGCAACAUUGGAACUGAAAUCAUUAGACCGUUUCUGAAACCAGUAGUGAAGUAUGUUGUUUAAUUUGAUAACCCGCAAAAAACCUUACCACAACUUGAAUAUUUAUGUUUACUUUUUUUUAAUAAAUAUAUUUACAAGCGUUGCACGGCUGUCUUCAGUUAAUGUCGUGAGAUUUUGGUUAGUUCCAUUAAAUUAACGUAAACCCUUGCUUUAUUUUUAUAUAAAGUAGUUCCCCGCUAGAUUGGAUA
rnacentral:rRNA from 1 species